ACCCGGGCUCGCUUCCCCACCGGCCCCACACAGACCCCCGUUUGCUUGCAGUGGCACAGGGUCCCCAGGGGAGCGACCCGCUGCUGGCAUUCCAGACACAGGGAAAGGGACACCCUCUGGCAAACAUCCCUUUCUCCGGGCUGAUUCCUCUGUCUCCUGCAGCCACUUAGCUCUACAUCGGGGGGAGUGUGGUGUGAGCCUAAGGUCCCCACAGUCCCCCACGUGCUUGCCGGAUUCCUGGGCAGUGUUUACCAGAUCCGUCCAACGGGGUCCAGAAUCAGAAGGCGGCGACGUGAUCACGGAAACAGGAGAGAAGGCUGCGACGUGGGGCCAUGGGCCAGGGACCCUCAGAAGAAAGCCCUGCUGACUUCUCGAUGUUGACCCAGCAAGACCCAUUUUGGACCUCCAGAACUGUCAGCGAAUAAAUGCUUGUCAUUUUAAGCCA